UUCACAUCGUGGUAAGGGAUAUACGUCGUGGUCCGCGCUUCUCAUGCACGCACAGCAAGGAACCACCCUUGCUGGCAGCUGUUGAACGUUACUGCAUUCCACAACAAAGAGCCGUGCAGCAAGUGUCACAAAACACCGACGCCGAGUCCUCCACUUCCCUUAAGAAAUUAGAACAAACAGAAAAUGAGGAGAACAAGUAUAAUUAAAGGGAACUAAAAGAGAGACAUAAAAUGGUCUGAUAAAAAAGAGAGUGCAGUGGAUAGAAAUUCAAUAUAAGUGGACCUAAGACGUUAAGAUAGACAGAAAAUAACGUGUCAUAUUUACAAAAAAGGAAAAAUCAGGUAAAUGAGACACAUAAAAAGACUUCAGGCAGAAAGAGUAGUUUACCUGUGGCGUGAGUAAGGUGAUUAAUAGUGAAGGAGCAGCAAGGAACCCCGGCUCUACUGUACAGUAUACUAUCAUCGUCGCUUCCUUCACCCGACCACCACCACCACCACCACCAACACUAUCACCAUGGCACUGCCCAUGCCUAUGCACGAGGACC